rnacentral:rRNA from 1 species
AUUGAACGCUGGCGGAAUGCUUUACACAUGCAAGUCGAGCGGCAGCGCGGGGGCAACCCUGGCGGCGAGCGGCGAACGGGUGAGUAACAUAUCGGAACGUACCCCGUCGUGGGGGAUAACACAGCGAAAGCUGUGCUAAUACCGCAUACGACCUGAGGGUGAAAGCGGGGGAUCGCAAGACCUCGCGCGAUGGGAGCGGCCGAUAUCGGAUGAGCUUGUUGGUGAGGUAAAGGCCCACCAAGGCGACGAUCCGUAGCUGAUCUGAGAGGACGGCCAGCCACACUGGAACGGAGACACGGGCCAGACUCCUACGGGAGGCAGCAGUGGGGAAUUUUGGACAAUUGGGGCAACCCUGAUCCAGCCAUUCCGCGUGAGUGAAGAAGGCCUUAGGGUUGUAAAGCUCUUUCAGGAGGAACGAAACGGUGGCCACUAAUACUGGCUACUAAUGACGGUACCUGAAGAAGAAGCACCGGCUAACUACGUGCCAGCAGCCGCCGUAACAC